GCCCGUUUAGCUUAAUGGUAAAGCGCUAGAUAGAUAUCUGUAUGAUGAGAUAAUAUGUGCAAUAUCUGGCUGAUGUGAGUUCGAUUCUCGCAAUGGGCA